GAGUUUGAUCAUGGCUCAGAUUGAACGCUGGCGGCAGGCUUAACACAUGCAAUUCGAGCGGAAACGAUGGGAGCUUGCUCCCAGGCGUCGAGCGGCGGACGGGUGAGUAACGCGUAGGAAUCUACCCAGUAGUGGGGGAUAGCCCGGGGAAACUCGGAUUAAUACCGCAUACGCCCUACGGGGGAAAGGCCGGGAUCUUCGGACCGGUCGCUAUUGGAUGAGCCUGCGUUGGAUUAGCUAGUUGGUAGGGUAAAGGCCUACCAAGGCGACGAUCCAUAGCUGGUCUGAGAGGAUGAUCAGCCACACUGGAACUGAGACACGGUCCAGACUCCUACGGGAGGCAGCAGUGGGGAAUAUUGGACAAUGGGCGCAAGCCUGAUCCAGCCAUGCCGCGUGUGUGAAGAAGGCUCUAGGGUUGUAAAGCACUUUCAGUAGGGAGGAAGGCCAGGGAGUUAAUAGCUUCUUGGAUUGACGUUACCUACAGAAGCAGCACCG
rnacentral:rRNA from 1 species